rnacentral:rRNA from 1 species
AUGACCACUAUCGACGACCUCUGCACCGCAGACAAGCCAGCGUCGCGCGCCGUCCCCACUGUCCGCGACCUCUGCGCCGCCAACAACCCAACAUCGCGCGCUGUCCCCACCGUCCCGGAGUUCGCCCCAUGCGAGGAGCUGCCGAAUCCAGAGGUUCUUAGCAAAGUUACUAUUCCUGAGGCUUUGGAGUCAGACAACUACAGUCAACAAGAUGACUCAGGGGAUGAUAGCAUGAAUGAACAAGAGGAGCAAACUAUAGUUGAUAUGACAGAAUCAGACGCAUCAGACGGCAUGCUGAUCGAUGGCCUGAGAACAUUUGUUAUAGAAGAGACAAGAGAGGAAGCUGGAGAGGAGUGCUUUGAAAGAAAAAAGGAAGAAAAGGACAAGGGCAGAGAAAGGAAAAGCCAAACGGCACAUUAA